rnacentral:lncRNA from 1 species
AUUUCUACCUGUUCAUGAUGAUGAGUAAGGUCUGAGAGUGGGAGCGACUGGAGGAAAUAGGUGAUUCUUACCAGUGGUUCUCAAAGGCUCUCACACAGUUCUGUGAAUGCCUGGGACAUGGAGAGACUGGUUGCCAGCAGGAAGAGAGGAAGCCCCUUCAUCAGCUUCCACCAAGAAUUUCAGGUUUACAAUUUACGCACUUAUAAUCCAAGGGGAAAAAAGAUGUAGGGAUGUUCAGCCUGUUUCCAGCCUGAAGCAGGAUCACUUUGUGGACGCCCAAGGGACCUCUGCAAAAGCCUGUCAGGCGUAGUCCCCUCUACCAGAUGAGCAGCCCACAGGUCAGCAGUUCCUCAGAGAUGCAGAUGUGAGGUGGAAAUCUGCUUGUAUCACCACAGUGGUGAGUACUGCCGUCACCUUGCCGAGGUCUAAGGUGGUGUGCCAGAUGUGCCUGAAACAAAGGGUAGAAAAUGACUUCACUUUUAACUCUGAAAAAGACAAAAUCUCCAGCAUAUGAUUAUAUGAACGGCCCUCAAGUGUUUGAAGAUCUGUUCUUUUAUUGUCCACACACACACAUGCACACACACACACACACAGCUGGAUGUGGCAGACUGUAGAUGUGGGCAAACUCUCUGAUGCACUUUUGCCCAUGAAUCUAGCUGGCCUGUGUUUGGCUGAGAGUACAGG